CGCUGCGCCUGCCCUCCACCCGGGGCCCCGCGCGAGAGGCAGCCCGCGCUCCGUCCCGGAGUCCUGGAGUCCUGGAGACAGAUAUGCAAGAUGGCAGAGGAGUGGGAAAGCCAAUAGAAAAGGGAUAUUGCACCUACUUGUGGCCAGUUUCCUUGCCCUGCCUUUGGAUCUCAUGCUGUGCCCAGUCCUGCAGCCGCUGGAGCCGAGCUGGACCCUCGGCGAAUCAUCCUGGAGAAAGUGAGAAUCAUCUUGAACUUGAGAAAUCUGCUGCGGCCGCUACAGCUACUAAAGCUACUUUGGCUUCCGCUUUCAGAGUUGGAAGCAAAAUAAAUAACUGUUUCUUUCUUAGUUUUAGGUGUAAUACCGUGUUUGGUGCUGUCCUUCGAAUAUUUCAGUAGUCUAUUGCCAUCAAACGGUAACAAUCAUCCUUGAUUGCCAGGUCCGGGCCAGUGCAGGCAUUUGACAUCCAAACCCUCCUUGCCUUCCCUGAGGUUGGCUGUCACCUCCCGGCCUCUCCAUCGCUGCCCGGGUCGCCUCUCGCUGCAGCUCAGCCUGCCAUUUUCACUCACUCACUUAAACCUCCAACCUCUGGGGUCACAAGAAGAAGGAAAAGAGGAAAACUGCACACACACAUGCGUGCUUAAAGUAUGCAUUGUUGAAAUUUGCUUUAAUUACAGGAUUUACCAAGGAAGUGGACACGCAGAAAUGGGGGAACU
rnacentral:lncRNA from 1 species